rnacentral:rRNA from 1 species
GGAGGAAAGCAGGGGAUCGCAAGACCUUGCGCUUUUGGAGCGGCCGAUGCCUGAUUAGCUUGUUGGUGAGGUAAAAGCUCACCAAGGCUCCGAUCAGUAGCUGGUCUGAGAGGACGACCAGCCACACUGGGACUGAGACACGGCCCAGACUCCUACGGGAGGCAGCAGUGGGGAAUUUUGGACAAUGGGGGCAACCCUGAUCCAGCCAUGCCGCGUGAGUGAAGAAGGCCUUCGGGUUGUAAAGCUCUUUCAGCCGGAACGAAACGGUCACGGUUAAUACCCGUGACUACUGACGGUACCGGAAGAAGAAGCACCGGCUAACUACGUGCCAGCAGCCGCGGUAAUACGUAGGGUGCGAGCGUUAAUCGGAAUUACUGGGCGUAAAGCGUGCGCAGGCGGUUUUGUAAGUCAGAUGUGAAAUCCCCGGGCUUAACCUGGGAGCUGCGUUUGAAACUACAAAGCUAG